rnacentral:rRNA from 1 species
AGUAGCCGCGGGAAUACAGAGGGUGCAAGCGUUAAUCGGAUUUACUGGGCGUAAAGGGCGCGUAGAUGGUUAUGUAAGUGAGAUGUGAAAUCCCUGGGCUCAACCUGGGAACUGCAUCUUAUACUGCGUAGCUGGAGUGCAGUAGAGGGUAGUGGAAUUUCCGGUGUAGCGGUGAAAUGCGUAGAUAUCGGAAGGAACACCAGUGGCGAAGGUGGCUACCUGGACUGACACUGACACUGAGGCGCGAAAGCGUGGGGAGCAAACAGGAUUAGAUACCCCAGUAGUCCCUGUCUCUUAUACA